GUGUAUAACCCAACCGGGUCAAGCGCAUGACCCAGGACCAUUAUCAAACCGGGUCAAUCUCAUGACCUAAAUCCAUCACCUUUUUCCCCAAUUCAGGAACCCUAAUUUGCGCCAAAAUCAAUUUUAGAGCAAAUCAAGAACCUGCAAAUCUCAAUUCAACCAAACAUUCCCUUUUUUAUUUCAAUACAUUCAAAAUUGUGAUUACAAGUGAAAAUUGGACCAAAUGCAUUGGUUAUAAUUCAGCCUUAAAUCUAUUUUCUAAUCAAACCUCCAAUCAAAUUACAAUCAAAUCUAAACUUCCUAAACUAAUCAAUCUAAUUAAAAACCUUAACCUAAUUCGAAUCUACAUAAACCUAAGGAUUAAACAGAAUAGGGGAAGAAAAAGAAGAACCCUAAAAAGAAUCCUUAUAAUUCUUGCUUCUGUAAUCCACCAAACAUCAUGAUAAGCUCCGAUUUUGAAGUAAUUAGGGUUUCGCAUUAAAAUCCCAAUCCACUUGAGCUUGGCCACCAACCCAGAACCUAACAUCAAAUAAGGAAAAGAAGAAGUCAUAAGCAAAGGGGGAGAAACUCAUAUCAAAAGGAGAAAGAAAGAAGAAAAUUAGGGAUUACCUUUGUUAAACCGGAAUAAAUCUCCAUUCUGUAGGUCGGCAUUCACUACUCGAUUUAUUUGUCUGUUUUGAUUAUUGGGGUUAAGGGAUAUGGUUUGUUGAUUUUGGGAUUUAGGGGUUUGGUUGGGGUUAGGGAAGGCUGAUUUGUGGGUCGACCAAGGUUUAGGGAAUUUCUGGGUAAUGGCUAGGGUUAGGGUUCAUGUGAUGAACCCUAGGGUUCAUCUGGGAAAAGGGUAGGGUUCUGGAGAACCCUUAGGGUUCUUAGGGUUUAUGAGAACCCAAUUAGGGUUCUUAGGAUGAGGAUGCUUCUAGGUUUAAGAAAUUGUUAGGGUUCAUCUAGGGAACCCAGAUAUAAAGGUUGGGGGCGUUUCUGGAAAAUGUUUGAUGAACGUUUGAAGAUUAUGGUUGAAGAUCAACCAAAAUCUGGGGAAGGAUACAUUUUAGAGAGUAGAGAGAAGAGAGAGAGAGGAGAGAGCAGGCAGAAGAGGGACUAAGAGAGAGAAAGUGGAGUGUGAAAUGA
rnacentral:lncRNA from 1 species